rnacentral:rRNA from 1 species
UGAGGAAUAUUGGUCAAUGGACGAGAGUCUGAACCAGCCAAGUAGCGUGAAGGAUGACUGCCCUAUGGGUUGUAAACUUCUUUUAUACGGGAAUAAAGUGAGGCACGUGUGCCUUUUUGUAUGUACCGUAUGAAUAAGGAUCGGCUAACUCCGUGCCAGCAGCCGCGGUAAUACGGGGGAUCCGAGCGUUAUCCGGAUUUAUUGGGUUUAAAGGGAGCGUAGGCGGACGCUUAAGUCAGUUGUGAAAGUUUGCGGCUCAACCGUAAAAUUGCAGUUGAUACUGGGUGUCUUGAGUACAGUAGAGGCAGGCGGAAUUCGUGGUGUAGCGGUGAAAUGCUUAGAUAUCACGAAGAACUCCGAUUGCGAAGGCAGCUUGCUGGACUGUAACUGACGCUGAUGCUCGAAAGUGUGGGUAUCAAACAGGAUUAGAUACCCUGGUAGUCCACACAGUAAACGAUGAAUACUCGCUGUUUGCGAUAUACAGUAAGCGGCCAAGCGAAAGCGUUAAGUAUUCCACCUGGGGAGUACGCCGGCAACGGUGAAACUCAAAGGAAUUGACGGGGGCCCGCACAAGCGGAGGAACAUGUGGUUUAAUUCGAUGAUACGCGAGGAACCUUACCCGGGCUUGAAUUGCAACUGAAUGAUGUGGAGACAUGUCAGCCGCAAGGCAGUUGUGAAGGUGCUGCAUGGUUGUCGUCAGCUCGUGCCGUGAGGUGUCGGCUUAAGUGCCAUAACGAGCGCAACCCUUAUUGAUAGUUACCAUCAGGUUAUGCUGGGGACUCUGUCGAGACUGCCGUCGUAAGAUGUGAGGAAGGUGGGGAUGACGUCAAAUCAGCACGGCCCUUACGUCCGGGGCUACACACGUGUUACAAUGGGGGGUACAGAAGGCAGCUACACGGCGACGUGAUGCUAAUCCCUAAAGCCUCUCUCAGUUCGGAUUGGAGUCUGCAACCCGACUCCAUGAAGCUGGAUUCGCUAGUAAUCGCGCAUCAGCCACGGCGCGGUGAAUACGUUCCC